rnacentral:rRNA from 1 species
GUAGGGAAUCUUCGGCAAUGGGCGAAAGCCUGACCGAGCAACGCCGCGUGAAUGAAGAAGGCCUUCGGGUUGUAAAAUUCUGUUAUAAGGGAAGAAAGGUGAUAGGAGGAAAUGACUAUCAAUUGACGGUACCUUAUGAGAAAGCCACGGCUAACUACGUGCCAGCAGCCGCGGUAAUACGUAGGUGGCAAGCGUUAUCCGGAAUUAUUGGGCGUAAAGAGCGCGCAGGUGGUUAAUUAAGUCUGAUGUGAAAGCCCACGGCUUAACCGUGGAGGGUCAUUGGAAACUGGUUGACUUGAGUGCAGAAGAGGGAAGUGGAAUUCCAUGUGUAGCGGUGAAAUGCGUAGAGAUAUGGAGGAACACCAGUGGCGAAGGCGGCUUCCUGGUCUGCAACUGACACUGAGGCGCGAAAGCGUGGGGAGCAAACAGGA